rnacentral:rRNA from 1 species
GACGAACGCUGGCGGCGUGCUUAACACAUGCAAGUCGAACGGAAAGGCCCUGCUUUUGUGGGGUGCUCGAGUGGCGAACGGGUGAGUAACACGUGAGUAACCUGCCCUUGACUUUGGGAUAACUUCAGGAAACUGGGGCUAAUACCGGAUAGGAUCUCCUGCUGCAUGGUGGGGGUUGGAAAGUUUCGGCGGUUGGGGCUGGACUCGCGGCUUAUCAGCUUGUUGGUGGGGUAGUGGCUUACCAAGGCUUUGACGGGUAGCCGGCCUGAGAGGGGGACCGGCGACAUUGGGACUGAGAUACGGCCCAGACGCCUACGGGAGGCAGCAGUGGGGAGUAUUGCACAAUGGGCGGAAGCCUGAUGCAGCAACGCCGCGUGCGGGAUGACGGCCUUCGGGUUGUAAACCGCUUUCGCCUGUGACGAAGCGUGAGUGACGGUAAUGGGUAAAGAAGCACCGGCUAACUACGUG